UCUUGCAAACUAAAGAUGGCGACCGGCGCACGGGUGAGUAACACGUAUCCAACCUGCCGAUAACUCGGGGAUAGCCUUUCGAAAGAAAGAUUAAUAUCCGAUAGUAUAUUAAAACCGCAUGGUUUUACUAUUAAAGAAUUUCGUUUAUCGAUGGGGAUGCGUUCCAUUAGUUUGUUGGCGGGGUAACGGCCCACCAAGACUACGAUGGAUAGGGGUUCUGAGAGGAAGGUCCCCCACAUUGGAACUGAGACACGGUCCAA
rnacentral:rRNA from 1 species